CACGUGAGUUGAGUUCUUGCUCACCUGAGAGCUGUUUACGAUUGCGGCACCUUCCCCCUUGCUAACUCUCGCUCACCUGAGAGCUGUUUAGGAGUGCGGCACCAUCCCCCGUCCUGCCUGUUGCUCACCUGAGAGCCAUUUAGGAGUGCGGCACCGUCCCCCGUCCUGCCUGUUGCUCACCUGAGAGCCAUUUAGGAGUGCGGCACCUUCCCUCUUGCUCCCUCUCACCCGUGACACACCAGCUCCCUCUUCACCUUCCUUGAUGGGUAAACCUCCCCGGCCUCCCCAGAAGCGGCCCAGAGGCCGGUGUCACAUUUCCUGUACGGCCCGCAGAACCGUGAGCAAAUGAACCCUCUUCGUUAUGAACGACCCAGCCUCAGGGACCUCUUCAUAGCGACACACUCCACAAGACAGAUGACUGGGGGUGAAGAUCCUGGGCCCAAGGACGGAGCAUCUGUGAUGCAGGCUUGGGCCUGCUCUCUCUCUGUAAAAACCAUUGACAAUGCUGGGGACAGUUGAACUUUCAUUUGCACCAAGCUGCGACUUUCCCCUUGGGGUAGCCAGGACUGGCCCUGAAGGAAAAGGGAAGUAAUUUCUCAUCACAGUAUUUGGUGUUCUGUAGUCUGGGCCUUGUGUUGCUGGCGGCACCUGGAGGGCACCGCUCCGAGCCCCUCCUCUGGGAAACAGGCUGUGAAUUGUGGAUGACACCGCGGGUCACUGUGCGAGGGAAGAGCACGGUUGUGCCUGUACCCAGGGGAAAGCCCGGCCCCACCCGUCACCCUCGUCCAGUGACAUCUGUGGGAUUUCUCCUCAGCCACGACCAAGGCUGUUCUGUUCCCACCCAACACUGCGAGAGCAGGCCCGGAGGGAGGUGGCAGCGAAUGAUCUAGGUUCUGCGGGAGCUGACGUGGGUUCGCGCCCGGUGCAAUCCCGGGCCAAUGCACUGCCUCUCUGAGCUCGUUUUCUCCUUGGUGAAACGAGGGUGGUAAUGGGGAAAGCCGCCCUCGCAGGACAGGCUGUGGGGACGAUUCGGUUCGGGAGCCCUCGGUCCAGGGUUAAUCCUGGCGAGGGGAGACCAACUGCCCUUGACUGCGGCGGCAGCUGGUGGUCGCCUGUGGUAUUGCUGCCUCCUCGCCGGGGGCCGCGGGCCGUCACUCACUCUCGAGGCUUCCUGGAAUUCUCUUCUGCACUUUGGGAGGCCGAGGCGGGCGGAUCACUUGAGGACGGGAGUUCGAGACCAGCCUGACCAACACGGAGAAACCCCAACUCUACUAAAAAUACAAUUAGCCAGGCGUGGUGGCGCGCGCCUGUAAUCCCAGCUACUCCGGAGGCUGAAGUAGGAGAAAUGCUUGAACCCAAGAGGCGGAGGUUGCGGCGAGCCGAGGUCGCACCACUGCACUCCAGCCUGGGCAACACGAGCGAAACUCCAUCUCAAAAGAAAGAAAGAAAGAAAGAAGUUCUGUUCUGAAUGCUGCUGGAAGUCCAGGCAUGAACA
rnacentral:lncRNA from 1 species